rnacentral:lncRNA from 1 species
CAAAUACGUAUUUUACAACAACAUAGGUGGCUUGAGGAUCUUAUAAUGUAGUUACUAAUAAGCUAACCUACAUGUUUUAUAGUAUUACUCCCUUAGCUUUGUGCCCCUAAUUUUUCUAUGCAAAUUAAAUUAGGUGAUUGAGAAUUAUUCAUUCCUUCCUUAACCAGAUCAUAUCUGUUGGAGAGAGCAUUGUAGAACUUGUGAAAAGCUUCAUUCAGCUGUUUCUUGGCAUUUUGUUUCAAAAUGUUAUCUCUUCACAUAGGAUUUGGUAACACUUUGAGUUCAAGUACCAGGGGAAGUAAGCUAUCCCUUCAAGAGUCAAAGAGCAAAUUCCAACGAGAAAUGUCAAACAGUUUUGUUUCAUCACAUAAGAUGUCAGAUAUUUCUUUAUCAAAUUCUGCUAUGCCCAGGUUCAGUGCAUCCUCCAUGACAAAAUUACCUCAACAAGCCAAAAAUGCAGUUCUUAUAAGAAGAAGCACUUCUUUGUUUUUCUUUUAA